UACGUAGGGAGCAAGCGUUGUCCGGAAUCAUUGGGCGUAAAGCGCGCGUAGGUGGCCUCGUAAGUCCGCUGUGAAAGUCAAAGGCUCAACCUUUGAAAGCCGGUGGAUACUGUGAGGCUAGAGUACGGAAGAGGCGAGUGGAAUUCCUGGUGUAGCGGUGGAAUGCGCAGAUAUCAGGAGGAACACCAAUAGCGAAGGCAGCUCGCUGGGACGUAACUGACACUGAGGCGCGAAAGCUAGGGGAGCAAACAGG
rnacentral:rRNA from 1 species